rnacentral:rRNA from 2 species
UGUGACCUCAAAUCAGGUAGGACUACCCGCUGAACUUAAGCAUAUCAAUAAGCGGAGGAAAAGAAACUAACAAGGAUUCCCCUAGUAACUGCGAGUGAAGCGGGAAAAGCUCAAAUUUAAAAUCUGGCGGUCUUUUGGCUGUCCGAGUUGUAAUCUAGAGAAGUGUUAUCCGCGCUGGACCGUGUACAAGUCUCCUGGAAUGGAGCAUCAUAGAGGGUGAGAAUCCCGUCUUUGACAUGGACUGCCAGGGCUUUGUGAUGCGCUCUCAAAGAGUCGAGUUGUUUGGGAAUGCAGCUCAAAAUGGGUGGUAAAUUCCAUCUAAAGCUAAAUAUUGGCGAGAGACCGAUAGCGAACAAGUACCGUGAGGGAAAGAUGAAAAGAACUUUGGAAAGAGAGUUAAACAGUACGUGAAAUUGCUGAAAGGGAAACGCUUGAAGUCAGUCGCGUCAUCCAGGGAUCAACCUUGCUUUUGCUUGGUGCACUUUCUGGUUUGAUGGGUCAGCAUCAAUUUCGACUAUUGGAAAAAGGCUCUAGGGAAUGUGGCAUCUUUGGAUGUGUUAUAGCCCUAGGUCGUAUACAAUGGUUGGGAUUGAGGAACUCAGCACGCCGCAAGGCCGGG